rnacentral:rRNA from 1 species
AUGGCAGGAUGAAGAAAGAUGGCCUCUACAAGUAAGCUAUCGCUAAAGGAUGGGCCUGCGUCUGAUUAGCUAGUUGGUAGUGUAACGGACUACCAAGGCGAUGAUCAGUAGCCGGUCUGAGAGGAUGAACGGCCACAUUGGGACUGAGACACGGCCCAAACUCCUACGGGAGGCAGCAGUGGGGAAUCUUCCGCAAUGGACGAAAGUCUGACGGAGCAACGCCGCGUGAGUGAUGAAGGAUUUCGGUCUGUAAAGCUCUGUUGUUUAUGACGAACGUGCAGUGUGUGAACAAUGCAUUGCAAUGACGGUAGUAAACGAGGAAGCCACGGCUAACUACGUGCCAGCAGCCGCGGUAAUACGUAGGUGGCGAGCGUUGUCCGGAAUUAUUGGGCGUAAAGAGCAUGUAGGCGGCUUAAUAAGUCGAGCGUGAAAAUGCGG